rnacentral:rRNA from 2 species
CCGAGUUGUAAUUUGCAGAGGAUGCUUUUGGCGCGGUGCCUUCCGAGUUCCCUGGAACGGGACGCCUUAGAGGGUGAGAGCCCCGUACGGUUGGACACCAAGCCUCUGUAAAGCUCCUUCGACGAGUCGAGUAGUUUGGGAAUGCUGCUCUAAAUGGGAGGUAAAUUUCUUCUAAAGCUAAAUACCGGCCAGAGACCGAUAGCGCACAAGUAGAGUGAUCGAAAGAUGAAAAGCACUUUGAAAAGAGGGUUAAAUAGCACGUGAAAUUGUUGAAAGGGAAGCGUUUACGGCCAGACCUUUUCCUGGCGGAUCAUCUGGUGUUCUCACCAGUGCACUUCGCCAGGUUUAGGCCAGCAUCGGCUUCCGUAGGGGGAUAA